AGACGUCUACAUUAGAUACCCGGGUAGUCCCAGCCGUAAACUAUGCGCGUUAGGUGUAUCGGUGACCACGAGUCACCGAGGUGCCGAAGGGAAACCGUGAAACGUGCCGCCUGGGAAGUACGGUCGCAAGGCUGAAACUUAAAGGAAUUGGCGGGGAGCACCACAACGGGUGGAGCCUGCGGUUUAAUUGGACUCAACGCCGGGAAGCUCACCGGAUAAGACAGCGGAAUGAUUGCCGGGCUGAAGACUCUGCAUGACUAGUCUG
rnacentral:rRNA from 1 species